rnacentral:rRNA from 1 species
AGAGUUUGAUCCUGGCUCAGGACGAACGCUGGCGGCGUGCUUAACACAUGCAAGUCGAACGGAGCACCCCUGAAGGAGUUUUCGGACAACGGAAGGGAAUGCUUAGUGGCGGACUGGUGAGUAACGCGUGAGGAACCUGCCUUCCAGAGGGGGACAACAGUUGGAAACGACUGCUAAUACCGCAUGAUACGUUGGAGCCGCAUGACUCCGACGUCAAAGAUUUAUCGCUGGAAGAUGGCCUCGCGUCUGAUUAGCUAGUUGGUGAGGUAACGGCCCACCAAGGCGACGAUCAGUAGCCGGACUGAGAGGUUGGCCGGCCACAUUGGGACUGAGAUACGGCCCAGACUCCUACGGGAGGCAGCAGUGGGGAAUAUUGGGCAAUGGACGCAAGUCUGACCCAGCAACGCCGCGUGAAGGAAGAAGGCUUUCGGGUUGUAAACUUCUUUUAAGGGGGAAGAGCAGAAGACGGUACCCCUUGAAUAAGCCACGGCUAACUACGUG